UGGCACCAAGUUGUUACCUUAUUGGUACAGAAAUAUUUUACAUAAAUCAAAACUAUAUAUGUGAAAUUCAUGCUGUAAUUCAGGUGGGAUAACAAACAAAAACAAAAAAACACCAAAGAGUAAAACCGGAAAUGGAAUUACGUCACUUCCUGUUCGUCAGUUGGUCUCCUGCUUUGAAAUUGAGGCAAUCGUUUUCAGCCGGAUGGUUGCCCCCUGUGCGAGUGGAAGAUGUGACUUUGAAGACAGUCAUUGUAAAAGGUGCAAAAGGCUUGUCUAAGAUAAGCUGGCAGUCUACACCGCAUGGCCUGCGUUGCUGACAUUGAGUGAAGUUAAUGCAGAGUUCCUGUGCCUGACAGAUACUUGAGGAAGCAUCUUGGAGGUUCUCAAGGAGAAGGGAGGUGUUGCCAGAAGGAAGGACUAGAGUGGCGAAGUGAUCCAAAGGCAGACUGCACAUCUACGUGUAUGGUUUGCAAGGAACAUCCCGUGCCAGAGACUGUGAUACAAGGCAUGGAGCUGUACAGUGAACUCGGAGCAUCUCUUGUGCAUGUGUGAUGCUCUUUGGACUCGGUUACCGGUAUAUACCCUCAAUCUCAACUCUGUGGAUUUGGAUUUACAAUUUUAAGUAUCCAGAUGAACUGAAAUAUAUGUUCUGGUGAAUUUGGAAAUCAAUCACUAUAAACUACAGUAAAUAUGUUGGACACUGGCAAUCUCAGGUUCUAAGACAUUGUAUAAAAGGACAAUCCAUCACAUUUCUAUGCAUACUUUUAUGUGCUGUUCUCUGAUCUGAGUUGAUGAUUUUUUUUGUCCUUAUCUUAGCUCAGCAUGGCAUUGAGUAUCAUUGAGGGUUUUUUUUCUAAGCAUUUUCUAUGCAGAUUAAAAGAUGAGUAGCACUUCAUGGACACAUUGAUAUCAUAAUUAAAAACAUUUCUCUCUCCCUCUCCUCCACCACUUUGGGAAAGAAUCAAAGAGCCAAAAGUGAUCCUGCGGGCAGUUGGUCAAUUCUAAAAUGUCCAUUCACAAAUAACAUCUUUUUCAUGAAUGUCUAAGUAAAUAAGUGAGUAAAUAGACACAUACUGUUCUGUUGAGAGUAUGUUUUUCGGCCAAAGAUAUCUGACUGCAUUCAAAAUGGUGGAUUAACAUGCAGAGGACCCCACUAUUAUUAAUUUGCCCAAGCGAUUAUGACAUUACUUAGAAUUUGAUGGUGGUUGUAAGCAUUCAUGAAAAAGAUGACAUUUCUGAACAGGCCACAUAAAUUAAUGUGGUACAGUACACUGAUAAUUUCAGGUUUUCUGUUUAAUUUCUGUUUAAUCAUACGAUUAUAUUGUCUAGAUUUUGGUGCUUUAUUAUCGUUUGACUGCAUGUUUGUCCAGCUGAUGAAAUAUUAAUAAAAGAAAUGUUUUGAA